rnacentral:rRNA from 1 species
UACGUAGGUGGCGAGCGUUGUCCGGAUUUACUGGGCGUAAAGAGCGCGCAGGCGGUCGUACAAGUCGCGUGUGAAAGCCCCUGGCUCAACUGGGGAGGGUCACGCGAUACUGUUCGACUUGAAGGCAGGAGAGGGAAGUGGAAUUCCCGGUGUAGUGGUGAAAUGCGUAGAUAUCUGGAGGAACACCGGUGGCGAAGGCGACAUCCUGGACCGGUAUUGACGCUGAGGCGCGAAAGCCAGGGGAGCAAACGGG